rnacentral:piRNA from 1 species
UAUUAUGAUAAUAUUAGGUGAAACAUUUGA